AAAGCUCUGUGGUUUGCCCAGGGCAGGCUGUCUUCCUGCUGCCUCUGCGGCUCAUCUGUCAUCAGCCAGACCUGAAGCUGCUGGAUCUUUGCCUGAAGACUUUUUAAAAGUCUCUGGCGAGAGGUCAUACGUUGAAUUAGAGAGCCAGUGGAGGAGGGAACAUCUUGGUUCUAGAGCAGAAAGCGAGUAUUAAACCGUGUUUCCGCGCCUCGAGCACCGCCUGCCCUGUCAGCCUGGUUCUGGCACUUCAUGUGAAGCUGCAGUUUAUUUCCAGGGAAACUGCAUUUAAAUAUCACUGGCGAGAACUGGUGGUUACAAUGGCUUGUACAGCAGGGGAGGAUAUGCUCUUCAUUGAUUCCUUUAUUCAUGCAGUUUUCUUAUAAAUAAACAAUUUGUUUGCA